UACAGAGGGUGCAAGCGUUGUCCGGAAUUACUGGGCGUAAAGCGCACGUAGGCGGCUUUGUAAGUUAGAGGUGAAAGCCCGGGGCUCAACUCCGGAAUUGCCUUUAAGACUGCAUCGCUAGAAUUGUGGAGAGGUAAGUGGAAUUCCGAGUGUAGAGGUGAAAUUCGUAGAUAUUCGGAAGAACACCAGUGGCGAAGGCGACUUACUGGACACAUAUUGACGCUGAGGUGCGAAAGCGUGGGGAGCAAACAGG
rnacentral:rRNA from 1 species